GGGCCCGUAGUCCAGUGGUAAGAUGCCGCAUUCGCAUUGCGGAGGCGGGAGUUCGAUUCUCCCCGGGUCCACCA
rnacentral:tRNA from 1 species